UAGAAGUGUUUUGCCAAGUCACAAUAUCUUC
rnacentral:piRNA from 1 species